rnacentral:misc_RNA from 1 species
GGAGAUUUAGGUGCACCUGCUUACCGAAAAUUUGAUGUGGAGGCUUGGAUGCCUGGUUUAGGACGGUAUGGUGAGAUAUCAAGUGCAUCCAAUUGUACAGACUAUCAAAGUCGCCGACUAGGAAUUCGAUAUCGUCCAUCAGAAUCAUCAACAAAUCCUAAAAAGGGUAAAGGCAAACUUGCUCCAACAAAGUUUGUUCACACAUUAAAUGCAACAGCUUGUGCUAUUCCACGGAUGAUAAUAUGUUUGUUGGAGAACUACCAACAAAAAGAUGGUUCUGUCGUUAUCCCUGUGCCACUGAGGCCGUUCAUUAGAGGGCUGGAACGUAUAGCUCCUAAAUUCCCACAAAAUAAUCUACUCAUCCUGUG